GCACGGCUCAGCUCGGCGUGGCUUGGGGCGGUACUGCGCGGCAAGGCUCGGGACAUCGUGCUGCCUGGGUAGGCACGGCUCGGCUCUGCUCGGCACGGUUUGGCUUGGCUCAGUCCUGCUCAGGAUAUUGUGCUGCCUAGCCCCAAGUCAAGCACCCAGAGGACAGGAAAGCCAGACUGUAUCUUGAGGCACUUCUGGACACUUGCAGCUCUCAGUGUGGCAUCUUGCUGCUUUCAGGGCCUCUCAGGAAGAUCUCAGACACAAUGCAGGCCGAGGCAGGCUGGCAUGUCCAGCCUCGUGGGAGAGGAACAACCCUGGGCAGAGAUAGCCAGGAGGAAAAAGCUGCCCUGCCCGGUGGAGUUUUUCUUCAUUCCUUGAAAGCCACAGAGACCUGCUGUGCGGGAUUCAGGGCUGGAGGCAGCGCCAGGGCAGCACCGAGGAGGAGCUGUCGUGACGGAUGACAGGACACCAUUCCCGAAUCCCUCUGCCACAGGAUGGAGGAAAGACCCGUUGGUCAUUGGCCCCGUGUCCAGGAUGUCAAAAUCCUCUUCUUCGCCCAGAUCAGUGAAGUCCAGGUCCUUGAUCUUCAGCUGCACAGGGAUGGUCUCCAGGCGCUCCCAUGUCAG